AUUGAACGCUGGCGGCAGGCCUAACACAUGCAAGUCGAGCGGAUGAAGGGAGCUUGCUCCUGGAUUCAGCGGCGGACGGGUGAGUAAUGCCUAGGAAUCUGCCUGGUAGUGGGGGAUAACGUCCGGAAACGGGCGCUAAUACCGCAUACGUCCUGAGGGAGAAAGUGGGGGAGCUUCGGACCUCACGCUAUCAGAUGAGCCUAGGUCGGAUUAGCUAGUUGGUGGGGUAAAGGCCUACCAAGGCGACGAUCCGUAACUGGUCUGAGAGGAUGAUCAGUCACACUGGAACUGAGACACGGUCCUGACUCCUACGGGAGGCAGCAGUGGGGAAUAUUGGACAAUGGGCGAAAGCCUUGUCCAGCCAUGCCGCGUGUGUGAAGAAGGUCUUCGGAUUGUAAAGCCCUUCAAGUUGGGAGGAAGGGCAGUAAGUUAUUACCUUGCUGUUUUGACGUUACCAACAGAAUAAGCACCGGCUAACUUCGUG
rnacentral:rRNA from 1 species